CUUGGUCAUUUAGAGGAAGUAAAAGUCGUAACAAGGUUUCCGUAGGUGAACCUGCGGAAGGAUCAUUACAAGUGAGGCUACCGAACGUUGGAAACAGCGGUUAGGAGCUUACACCCACCCGUGUUUACAUACUAUUGUUGCUUUGGCGGGCCGUGGCCUCCACUGCGGGCUCUGCUCGUGUGUGCCCGCCAGAGAACCAAACUCUGAAUGUUAGUGAUGUCUGAGUACUAUCUAAUAGUUAAAACUUUCAACAACGGAUCUCUUGGUUCUGGCAUCGAUGAAGAACGCAGCGAAAUGCGAUAAGUAAUGUGAAUUGCAGAAUUCAGUGAAUCAUCGAAUCUUUGAACGCACAUUGCGCCCUGUGGUAUUCCGCAGGGCAUGCCUGUUCGAGCGUCAUUUAACCACUCACGCCUAGCGUGGUAUUGGGGCACGCGGUCUCCGCGGCCCUCAAAAUCAGUGGCGGCGCCGGUGGGCUCUACGCGUAGUAAUAAACCCCUCGCGUGUGAGUCUCGGCGGUCGCUUGCCAGCAACCCCCAAUUUUUUAUGGUUGACCUCGAAUCAGGUAGGGAUACCCGCUGAACUUAAGCAUAUCAAUAAGCGGAGGA
rnacentral:rRNA from 1 species